UUUUUCAACAUGUUAAGCAUAAGCGAAGUUUCGAGUGAGAAUCUACAGUCAGAAUUUCGUUGUUGAUUUACAAAAACCUGAAGAAGAGAAGUAGAGAAGAGAGUUAAUAUAAUUUUUUCAACAUGUUAAGCAUAAGCGAAGUUUCGAGUGAGAAUCUACAGGUAUUUGAGCAAUAAAAACAAUUUGUAACCAGUUUCGUUUUAUCUUCUUGAUUACUUUUAUACUAAAAAUUGCUCAUAAUUUGAACGAAAAAUACUCAUAAAGGAUUACUUGCUUUUUCGUUUUUAUGGAGUUUGAAAGUUUUCGAUUGGUUAGACACUAGUAAGGCAUUGGUUAGAUACUAGGCAUUGGUUAGAUACUAGGCAUUGGUUAGAUACUAGGCAUUGGUUAGAUACUAGGCAUUGGUUAGAUACUAGGCAUUGGUUAGAUACUAGUCAUUGGUUAGAUACUAGGCGUUGGUUAGAUAUUAGGCAUUGGUUAGAUACUAGACAUUGGUUAGAUACUAGGCAUUGGUGAGAUACUGGGCAUUGGUUAGAUACUAGGCAUUUGUUAGAUAUUAGGCAUUGGUUAGAUACUAGGCAUUGGUUAGACACCAGGUUACUGUUUUUUAUUUAUUUUGAUUCUUAACAAUUUAACUAUGUGGACUAUCAUUACUAAAACAGUUUCAGUCAGAAUUUCGUUGUUGAUUUACAAAAACCUGAAGAAGAGAAGUAGAGAAGAGAGUUAAUAUAAUUUUUUCAACAUGUUAAGCAUAAGCGAAGUUUUGAGUGAGAAUCUACAGGUAUUUGAGCAAUAAAAACAAUUUGUAACCAGUUUCGUUUUAUCUUCUUGAUUACUUUUAUACUAAAAAUUGCUCAUAAUUUGAACGAAAAAUACUCAUAAAAGAUUACUUGCUUUUUCGUUUUUAUGGAGUUUGAAAGUUUUCGAUUGGUUAAACACUAGGCAUUGCUUAGAUACUAGGCAUUGGUUAGAUAAUAGGCAUUGGUUAGAUACUAGGCACUGGUUAGAUACUAGGCAUUGGUUAGAUACUAGGCAUUGGUUAGAUACUAGGCAUUGGUUAGAUACUAGGCAUUGAUUAGAUACUAGGCAUUGGUUAGACACCAGGUUACUGUUUUUUAUUUAUUUUGAUUCUUAACAAUUUAACUAUGUGGACUAUCAUUAUUAAAACAGUUUCAGUCAGAAUUUCGUUGUUGAUUUACAAAAACCUGAAGAAGAUAAGUAGAGAAGAGAGUUAAUAUAAUUUUUUCAACAUGUUAAGCAUAAGCGAAGUUUCGAGUGAGAAUCUACAGUCAGAAUUUCGUUGUUGAUUUACAAAAACCUGAAGAAGAGAAGUAGAGAAGAGAGUUAAUAUAAUUUUUUCAACAUGUUAAGCAUAAGCGAAGUUUCGAGUGAGAAUCUACAGGUAUUUGAGCAAUAAAAACAAUUUGUAACCAGUUUCGUUUUAUCUUCUUGAUUACUUUUAUACUAAAAAUUGCUCAUAAUUUGAACGAAAAAUACUCAUAAAGGAUUACUUGCUUUUUCGUUUUUAUGGAGUUUGAAAGUUUUCGAUUGGUUAGACACUAGGCAUUGGUUAGAUACUAGGCAUUGGUUAGAUACUAGGCAUUGGUUAGAUACUAGGCAUUGGUUAGAUACUAGGCAUUGGUUAGAUACUAGGCAUUGGUUAGAUACUAGGCAUUGGUUAGAUACUACGCAUUGGUUAGAUAUUAGGCAUUGGUUAGAUACUAGACAUUGGUUAGAUACUAGGCAUUGGUUAGACACCAGGUUACUGUUUUUUAUUUAUUUUGAUUCUUAACAAUUUAACUAUGUGGACUAUCAUUACUAAAACAAUUUCAGUCAGAAUUUCGUUGUUGAUUUACAAAAACCUGAAGAAGAGAAGUAGAGAAGAGAGUUAAUAUAAUUUUUUCAACAUGUUAAGCAUAAGCGAAGUUUCGAGUGAGAAUCUACAGGUAUUUGAGCAAUAAAAACAAUUUGUAACCAGUUUCGUUUUAUCUUCUUGAUUACUUUUAUACUAAAAAUUGCUCAUAAUUUGAACGAAAAAUACUCAUAAAGGAUUACUUGCUUUUUCGUUUUUAUGGAGUUUGAAAGUUUUCGAUUGGUUAGACACUAGUAAGGCAUUGGUUAGAUACUAGGCAUUGGUUAGAUACUAGGCAUUGGUUAGAUACUAGGCAUUGGUUAGAUACUAGGCAUUGGUUAGAUACUAGGCAUUGGUUAGAUACUAGGCAUUGGUUAGAUACUAGGCAUUGGUUAGAUACUACGCAUUGGUUAGAUAUUAGGCAUUGGUUAGAUACUAGACAUUGGUUAGAUACUAGGCAUUGGUUAGAUACUAGGCAUUGGUUAGAUACUAGGCAUUGAUUAGAUACUAGGCGUUGGUUAGACACCAGGUUACUGUUUUUUAUUUAUUUUGAUUCUUAACAAUUUAACUAUGUGGACUAUCAUUACUAAAACAGUUUCAGUCAGAAUUUCGUUGUUGAUUUACAAAAACCUGAAGAAGAGAAGUAGAGAAGAGAGUUAAUAUAAUUUUUUCAACAUGUUAAGCAUAAGCGAAGUUUCGAGUGAGAAUCUACAGGUAUUUGAGCAAUAAAAACAAUUUGUAACCAGUUUCGUUUUAUCUUCUUGAUUACUUUUAUACUAAAAAUUGCUCAUAAUUUGAACGAAAAAUACUCAUAAAGGAUUACUUGCUUUUUCGUUUUUAUGGAGUUUGAAAGUUUUCGAUUGGUUAGACACUAGUAAGGCAUUGGUUAGAUACUAGGCAUUGGUUAGAUACUAGGCAUUGGUUAGAUACUAGGCAUUGGUUAGAUACUAGGCAUUGGUUAGAUACUAGUCAUUGGUUAGAUACUAGGCGUUGGUUAGAUAUUAGGCAUUGGUUAGAUACUAGACAUUGGUUAGAUACUAGGCAUUGGUGAGAUACUGGGCAUUGGUUAGAUACUAGGCAUUUGUUAGAUAUUAGGCAUUGGUUAGAUACUAGGCAUUGGUUAGACACCAGGUUACUGUUUUUUAUUUAUUUUGAUUCUUAACAAUUUAACUAUGUGGACUAUCAUUACUAAAACAGUUUCAGUCAGAAUUUCGUUGUUGAUUUACAAAAACCUGAAGAAGAGAAGUAGAGAAGAGAGUUAAUAUAAUUUUUUCAACAUGUUAAGCAUAAGCGAAGUUUCGAGUGAGAAUCUACAGUUUCAGUCAGAAUUUCGUUGUUGAUUUACAAAAACCUGAAGAAGAUAAGUAGAGAAGAGAGUUAAUAUAAUUUUUUCAACAUGUUAAGCAUAAGCGAAGUUUCGAGUGAGAAUCUACAGUCAGAAUUUCGUUGUUGAUUUACAAAAACCUGAAGAAGAGAAGUAGAGAAGAGAGUUAAUAUAAUUUUUUCAACAUGUUAAGCAUAAGCGAAGUUUCGAGUGAGAAUCUACAGUCAGAAUUUCGUUGUUGAUUUACAAAAACCUGAAGAAGAGAAGUAGAGAAGAGAGUUAAUAUAAUUUUUUCAACAUGUUAAGCAUCAGCGAAGUUUCGAGUGAGAAUCUACAGGUAUUUGAGCAAUAAAAACAAUUUGUAACCA